rnacentral:rRNA from 1 species
UGAGGAAUAUUGGACAAUGGGCGCAAGCCUGAUCCAGCAAUGCCGCGUGCAGGAUGAAGGCCUUCGGGUUGUAAACUGCUUUUGUACGGAGCGAAAAGGUCUGCCCUAAUACGGUGGGCUCAUGACGGUACCGUAAGAAUAAGCACCGGCUAACUACGUGCCAGCAGCCGCGGUAAUACGUAGGGUGCGAGCGUUAAUCGGAAUUACUGGGCGUAAAGCGUGCGCAGGCGGUUAUAUAAGACAGAUGUGAAAUCCCCGGGCUCAACCUGGGACCUGCAUUUGUGACUGUAUAGCUAGAGUACGGUAGAGGAGGAUGGAAUUCCGCGUGUAGCAGUGAAAUGCGUAGAUAAGCGGAGGAACACCGAUGGCGAAGGCAAUCCCCUGGACCUGUACUGACGCUCAUGCACGAAAGCGUGGGGAGCAAACA